GCGCCCGUAGCUCAGUGGAUAGAGCAAGCUUUUGCUAGAGGCCGGGUCGCAGGUUCGAAUCCUGCCGGGCGCG
rnacentral:tRNA from 1 species